rnacentral:rRNA from 1 species
UGGGGAAUAUUGCACAAUGGGCGCAAGCCUGAUGCAGCCAUGCCGCGUGUGUGAAGAAGGCCUUCGGGUUGUAAAGCACUUUCAGCGAGGAGGAAGGCGUUAAGGUUAAUAACCUUGGCGAUUGACGUUACUCGCAGAAGAAGCACCGGCUAACUCCGUGCCAGCAGCCGCGGUAAUACGGAGGGUGCAAGCGUUAAUCGGAAUUACUGGGCGUAAAGCGCACGCAGGCGGUUUGUUAAGUCAGAUGUGAAAUCCCCGAGCUUAACUUGGGAACUGCAUUUGAAACUGGCAAGCUAGAGUCUUGUAGAGGGGGGUAGAAUUCCAGGUGUAGCGGUGAAAUGCGUAGAGAUCUGGAGGAAUACCGGUGGCGAAGGCGGCCCCCUGGACAAAGACUGACGCUCAGGUGCGAAAGCGUGGGGCAGCAAACAGGAUUAGAUACCCUGGUAGUCCAGCGCUGUAAACGAUGUCGAUUUGGAGGUUGUGGGCUUGACCC